UAGCAUCGACGUUAGCAUCGAU
rnacentral:miRNA from 1 species